UUCUGAAAAGCGCAAAAGAAGAAGAAAAGCCAUGAAAAUAGCGAAGAUAACAGAUCCUGUCCAAAUUCGCCAUUUUUAUACGCAUAACAUUGAAUUAAAAGUAGAGAGGACUUUUAUAAUACUUAGUAAUUUUGGUAAAUUCAAGAUGGUGACGUCCUAGUCCGAGUUAGACAACACAACAACAGGACAACAGCCGAUGGAAAUGAAAUGUGGGUCACAAAAGGAGCCUAAAGGGACGAAGGCUGCUAAGUUGUUGCCAUCUGGUGUCUAUGCAAAUUAAGAUGAAAGAGGAAGCCAGUGAACAAGAAUUAGAAAACCUAAAGACUUUCCUGUCUCAGAAGAGGCUCUGGCUCCACCAGAUCACCAACCAGUUCUGAGGAUGAACCUCCACAUCGUCUUCCUGGUGGAAGGCUCUUUGUUUUUUUACACUGAGCAGCUGGCCACAUUUUUAACAGCAAAAACUGGGCCCUGUGAUGGACUGGUGACCUGUCCAGGGUGAACCCCGCCUCUCAUCUGAUGACUGCUAGAGACGGGCACCACCAGCCCCCCUCACCACCAUUCAAGGAUCAACGUGUUCAGAUCAUGGACGGAAAGAUUUUAAGGCAAAGAAGUCACCCAGAAAUGUUUUUCCACCCCAGGCAUCCGGUCCCAAUCAUUACCAGUUCUGAUGAUGCCACAUACAUAGCGAGUCCACAACGUCUAAAAAUUGUUUCUGUAAAGUGCAGUGGUCCAGUGAAUGGGAAUGUUCUGCUGAUCCUCACUGUUCUUAGGAAGGAGAAAUGUCAGUUUGUCUGCAGUAAUACUGGAAUACUGUGACAUUAAAUUAAAACAAUACUCCUUGGUGAAACAUUUUCUCUAAAGGGUAUCUAUUUUUUAUUGUGCUAAUUUUCAUAAGCAUAUUGUCUGUAAACUUUGAAUAUAUUGACAAUUUGUACAAUUCUGGGAUAGUAUAUUGUCAAUGUACUCUUGAAAAAUGUGGGUAAAACUUUAUUUGACGGGGUGUGAAUAAGACUGACAUGAUACUGUCAUAAACACAACACCUGUUAGGAACAUACUAACAGGUGUCAUGAAGUGUCAUUCAGUAAAUAAUGACACUUUUAAUAAAAAAUUGCUUUAAAAGUUGGAUGACAGGUGUUAUGUCAGUCUUA